AUUGAACGCUGGCGGCAGGCUUAACACAUGCAAGUCGAGCGGAGUGAUGGUGCUUGCACUAUCACUUAGCGGCGGACGGGUGAGUAAUGCUUAGGAAUCUGCCUAUUAGUGGGGGACAACAUCUCGAAAGGGAUGCUAAUACCGCAUACGUCCUACGGGAGAAAGCAGGGGAUCACUUGUGACCUCGCGCUAAUAGAUAAGCCUAAGUCGGAUUAGCUAGUUGGUGGGGUAAAGGCCUACCAAGGCGACGAUCUGGAGCGGGUCUGAGGGGAUGAUCCGCCACACUGGGACUGAGACACGGCCCAGACUGCUACGGGAGGCAGCAGUGGGGAAUAUUGGACAAUGGGGGGAACCCUGAUCCAGCCAUGCCGCGUGUGUGAAGAAGGCCUUAUGGUUGUAAAGCACUUUAAGCGAGGAGGAGGCUUACCUAGUUAAUACCUGGGAUAAGUGGACGUUACUCGCAGAAUAAGCACCGGCUAACUCUGUGCCAGCCGCCGCCGUAAUAC
rnacentral:rRNA from 1 species